rnacentral:rRNA from 1 species
GACAGAGGGUGCAAACGUUGUUCGGAAUUACUGGGCGUAAAGCGUGUGUGAGCGGCCGCGUAAGUCGGAUGUGAAAGCCCUGGGCUCAACCCAGGAAGUGCACUCGAUACUGCGUGGCUUGAGUACUGGAGAGGUUGGUGGAAUUCUCGGUGUAGAGGUGAAAUUCGUAGAUAUCGAGAGGAACACCGGUGGCGAAGGCGGCCAACUGGACAGAUACUGACGCUGAGACACGAAAGCGUGGGGAGCAAACAGG